GACUUGUGGUUUGGCAAGAUGACUCUGGCUGCUCUUUAAUGAUGAAUGAACACAAGGGGCCAGAAAGGAUGCAGAGACAAGCCAGGAGCCACCAAGGCUGUCCAGUCAGAUGGUGGCAGCUUGGAUUAGAAGAAAAAAAGAUCCCAGAUAUACUUGGAAGGCAGAACAGAGAAAACUUGCUUGAGGACUUGAGGGCCUAAGGAAAUAGGGGAAUCAAGAAAAAAACCAUUUUUCUGGCUUGUGCUCUUGGAUGGGCAGAGAUGACUUUCACUUAGAUAGGAAACUCUGAAAGAGGACAAAUAUUUUAAAAAUGUAGACUUCUGAUUAGAGAGAUCUUGAGUUAAUCCCAGUAUAAAGCCACCAUCUGGAACUUCAAUUUAAAGAAUCUGUGGCAUCAAUUUACUUGAAGAUUGAUGUUCCUUGAACACUAAAUCAUACGCUGUUGGACUGAAAAAGUUCAUUUACCUUAUGUGGCCAAAAUGAUCUGAGGGAAAGCCAUGCUGGGUCUUUCUUAGAGGGCAAAACAUAGUCCUGCUCCGAAAACUUCUUGAACUAUAAUUAACCUUUAAAGGAAAUUAUGCUUAAGGAAGAAAAAAGCAUAUGUAACAUACUUAAAGUCAGUUUUAGAGACUAAAUAUGAAUCCUUUCCUGCUUCAUAAAUUUUCCAUGGACCUAAAAAUUGAGCUAGAUUUUAUAACAUUCCAUACACACAAAGUAUUCACUCUUACCUUGCUCCUUUACAUUUGUCUUAAACUCCAUUUUCCUAGAAAUUCAUUUAAUGAAAUUAUUAUUAUUAUUUUUUAUGGUCACACCCAUGGCAUAUAGAAGUUCCCAGGCAAGGGAUUUACUAUGAGCCGCAGCUGUGACCUAUGCUGCAGGUGCAGCAACACCUGAUCCUUUAACCCACUAUGCAGGGCUGGGGAUCCAAUCUGUACCUCCACAGCAGACCCAAAUCACUGGUUAAGUCAGAUUCUUAACCCACUGUGCCACGUAGGGAACUCCUAAUGCAAUUUUUGAAAAUGUAAUUGUUCAAGGGAGUUCCCACUGUGGUGCAGUGGGAUAAGGAUCCAGUGUUGCCGUGCUGCAGCUCGGAUUUGAUCCCUGGCCUGGGAAUUUCCAUAUGCUAUGGUACAGGUGAAAAAGAAAAAAAAAAAAAACUAAUUGUUUAAGGUCAUGAUUCAAUUAUCCUUUUGAACACUGUUAUAACCACCACACUCUGGUCUACAUCAGUGUAAAAUCAUUGGCUUAGAUGGAUAACUAGCAUCUUUUACUAAAGACUUUGGUCCUUAAAUCCUUAAAAACUUGUCCUUUAUUAAAUUAAAAUGUUUAUUCUACAAUAGGGUCAAUACUUUAUUUGAGUAUGAGUCAUUCUACUUUCUCUUGAUUUCAUAGCCACAGACUGCCACCCUAAUCCUACCUAGUCAUCUAAAAUUGGGUGCUGUUGGCCUUAAAGGGGCCAGGGUUAUGAAAGACUGGGAUAGAUCUGUGCAAACCUAUCAACAGUCCUUGAAAGAGACCAGAACAUUCUGAUAGUGGGUAAAUUGUAUUUUCAUGCGUGAAAAUGUAGAGAAUGUGGAGUCAUUGUGAGUCACAGGAGAUGAAUGAGUUAUGAGUAAUAUAUGGUAUCUCCCAAAGUCCAGCCAAGGGAGACCCCUUUAACCACGGGAUAGCCACCGCCCUUAAAUAUCUGGUAAGAGCACAUCCUAAAAAACAAAAUCUUAUAAAAAUAUUGAAUCACUAUGUUGUACCCCUGAAACAACAUACUAAUGUAAUUAGACUAACCUUCAAUAAAAAAAAUCUUUAUUGUGGUUGAGUUUCCCAUUAAAGUCAUAUUCUAGAUCCUCUAAAGCCUUAACUAAAGGGAGGAUGAAUUUAGAAUAUACUGUCAAACACUUUACAUCUAUUAUUUUAUUAAAUCCUAACUCCAAACUGGAGUUGUUGAGAAAAUUAUCUGUUUUAUGCAUGAGGAAACUAAAUCUCAGAAACGUUAAGUAACUUGUUUAUAAUCACAUUGCUAGUAAGCAGUACAGCCAGAAUCAGCAUGUCUUCCCCUGAAGUCUGUACUCUAUCUGUGCUCCCAUAUUAAAUUCCAGCUUUAUUGACUACUCACCAAUAUGGCUCUCCCUUUGUGUCUAGCUUCAUCUCACCAUCUCCCUAGCCUGCCAGAUACAACCCCAGCUCCACUGUGUUCAUACCAUUUCUUUUGUCCAUGAAAUACUCUCUUAAAUGAUCAUUAUGCUUCAUGAUUCUGAAAGGAUCCGUCCAAAUGAAAGCACACAUUACAGGGGAACCUUCUGUAAUCCAAAAACUAAGGGCCCUCGAAUCUCUAUCACCGUAAGAUGUAUAACCUUAGAAUGCAGAGUCUCCAGCCCUUUUCAAGUGUUGUUCCCCAAAGUCUAUCAGCACCCUCCUAACAUGCUCCUUGUGUACCCUGCAAACCAGAACUGAUCUUCAAGGCUGCUCAGAUAGUGUCUUGCUGCUGCUGCUGCUGAAUGCUCUAUUCUAACAAAGGGACAAAGGAAUACUAAAUUAUAUUUACUGGAGGUUGGUUGGUUUUUUUUUUUUUUUUUUUUUUUUUAACAGUCCUUUGUGGGUAAUUUUGGGGCUGCUGGAAGGCACACUGACAUACUGGGCCCAAUAUGAUUUGAGUGCAUGCUUUUGCUGAGGUUUUUUGCUCUAAUUAAAAUUAAUGCCCUGAACCACUAAUAAUGACAGGGCAGUUUUCAGACUCAGAGACUACCAAGGCUCCCAAAAGAGCUGGAUUUCAGAAAGGUGCUUUAGGAAGGAAUAUGACCCAACCAUGUCAAGAAGACUGGAGUGUUGUUCAUAGGGCAUAGGUCACAAGUAACCUGUGGUAGAGGAUGGAAAGAUGGACAGUCUGUAGGAGAGAACAGCGGUGAUAACAGCAACAAUGCUUGCAUUUGUUUCUACUCUGUGAGGGCCCUAUUCUAGACUUUUAGAUUUAUUAUUGGAUUAUUUCAGUCCUCUCAAAAGCCCUGAAAGGUAAACAUCAUCAUUCCCAUUUUAUUCUCUUUAUAGAGAAUGUGCAGAACUGAUGCUUUAUAACCCAAAUGUGAUUCAUGAAAAGGAGUUCUACUUUGUUUAAAAACAAAUUAAUACCACGUUUCUCCAGUUGUGCUGCCUUUUCACUAAAUAUAUCUCCAAGUUUUCAUCAGGCUAAAAUUCUUUAAUUUUAAUAUCCAUCAAAGGAAGAUAAAUAUUAAUAGAUGUUAAACAAGAGCAAGAGUAAAUGUGUGUAUUUUUAGAUAUUUCCUCUAAACAAC
rnacentral:lncRNA from 1 species